rnacentral:rRNA from 1 species
GAUGAACGCUGGCGGCGUGCCUAAUACAUGCAAGUCGAGCGAACAGACGAGGAGCUUGCUCCUCUGACGUUAGCGGCGGACGGGUGAGUAACACGUGGAUAACCUACCUAUAAGACUGGGAUAACUUCGGGAAACCGGAGCUAAUACCGGAUAAUAUAUUGAACCGCAUGGUUCACUAGUGAAAGACGGUUUUGCUGUCACUUAUAGAUGGAUCCGCGCCGCAUUAGCUAGUUGGUAAGGUAACGGCUUACCAAGGCAACGAUGCGUAGCCGACCUGAGAGGGUGAUCGGCCACACUGGAACUGAGACACGGUCCAGACUCCUGCGGGAGGCAGCAGUAGGGAAUCUUCCGCAAUGGGCGAAAGCCUGACGGAGCAACGCCGCGUGAGUGAUGAAGGUCUUCGGAUCGUAAAGCUCUGUUAUUAGGGAAGAACAAAUGUGUAAGUAACUAUGCACGUCUUGACGGUACCUGAUCAGAAAGCCACGGCUAACUACGUG